GACGAACGCUGGCGGCGUGCUUAACACAUGCAAGUCGAACGGAAAGGCCCUGCUUUUGUGGGGUGCUCGAGUGGCGAACGGGUGAGUAACACGUGAGUAACCUGCCCUUGACUUUGGGAUAACUUCAGGAAACUGGGGCUAAUACCGGAUAGGAGCUCCCGCUGCAUGGUGGGGGUUGGAAAGUUUCGGCGGUUGGGGAUGGACUCGCGGCUUAUCAGCUUGUUGGUGGGGUAGUGGCUUACCAAGGCUUUGACGGGUAGCCGGCUUGAGAGGGUGACCGGCCACAUUGGGACUGAGAUACGGCCCAGACUCCUACGGGAGGCAGCAGUGGGGAAUAUUGCACAAUGGGCGGAAGCCUGAUGCAGCAACGCCGCGUGCGGGAUGACGGCCUUCGGGUUGUAAACCGCUUUCGCCUGUGACGAAGCGUGAGUGACGGUAAUGGGUAAAGAAGCACCGGCUAACUACGUG
rnacentral:rRNA from 1 species